GAUGAACGCUGGCGGCGUGCCUAAUACAUGCAAGUCGAGCGAACGGACGAGAAGCUUGCUUCUCUGAUGUUAGCGGCGGACGGGUGAGUAACACGUGGAUAACCUACCUAUAAGACUGGGAUAACUUCGGGAAACCGGAGCUAAUACCGGAUAAUAUUUUGAACCGCAUGGUUCAAAAUUGAAAGACGGUCUUGCUGUCACUUAUAGAUGGAUCCGCGCUGCAUUAGCUAGUUGGUAAGGUAACGGCUUACCAAGGCAACGAUGCAUAGCCGACCUGAGAGGGUGAUCGGCCACACUGGAACUGAGACACGGUCCAGACUCCUACGGGAGGCAGCAGUAGGGAAUCUUCCGCAAUGGGCGAAAGCCUGACGGAGCAACGCCGCGUGAGUGAUGAAGGUCUUCGGAUCGUAAAACUCUGUUAUUAGGGAAGAACAUAUGUGUAAGUAACUGUGCACAUCUUGACGGUACCUAAUCAGAAAGCCACGGCUAACUACGUG
rnacentral:rRNA from 1 species